rnacentral:tRNA from 1 species
UGGGCGCGUAGCUCAGAUGGUUAGAGCGCACGCCUGAUAAGCGUGAGGUCGGUGGUUCGAUUCCACUCGUGCCCAUC